UUGCUUGUUUCGGCAGCACAUAUACUAAAGUUGGGAUCACACAGAGAAGGUUAGCCUGGCCCCCGAGCAAGGAUGGCUGGCACGCAAAUUUGUAUGGUACCCCAUAUUUUU
ensembl:snRNA Rnu6-1136 RNA, U6 small nuclear 1136